UACGUAGGCAGCAAGCGUUGUUCGGAAUUACUGGGCGUAAAGCGCACGUAGGCGGCUUUGUAAGUUAGAGGUGAAAGCCCAGGGCUUAACCCUGGAAUUGCCUUUAAGACUGCAUCGCUAGAAUCGUGGAGAGGUAAGUGGAAUUCCGAGUGUAGAGGUGAAAUUCGUAGAUAUUCGGAAGAACACCAGUGGCGAAGGCGACUUACUGGACACGGUAUUGACGCUGAGGUGCGAAAG
rnacentral:rRNA from 1 species